rnacentral:ncRNA from 4 species
GUAACUAUGACUCUCUUAA